GUCUCGUCUGCUGCGCGGUCUGUUCUGUUCUGUUCCGUUUCUGAGGUCCCUGUUGUGAUUCUCUGUCAUGGAUUUCCUUGAUUUAUGGAUUAUUGUUCCAAAGUCUGGACCCCUGUGUGGAUCCCCCUCUCCUGAUUGGCUGAUCAUACUCCCAGCGGCGUGCGUGCCCGGUGUCAGCGGCAUCCUGCUCCUGUCAGCCGGAUUCAUCCAGACAGACAUUUGCGGGGGGGGGGGGGGAAGUUUUAAUGCUACGUCAUCUUCAAGCGCCGUGUAGCUGCUGCGCUCCCCGGUGCGUUCUACACACACGCUGAAGGGGGAUUUUUGCGUCGUAUCUGACGCUGACUGCCACUGACCAAACGUCCGUAUUUUACGAGUUGAGAACAGGUUGUACAGGAACCGGUAUCGAAGUGACGGCAUUGGUAUCGGUAUUGAAUAUUUUUGAACGAUACCCAGCCCUAUCACUGAGUUAUAAAAUAGAGAAAUAAUCUGUCCACAUUCCUCAGCGAGAUAAGUUAUUUCCCAACUAUUUGGUUAGAAAAGUCUGGAAUAAAUCCACGAUUGUAUCUCUAUGCCGUCAUGAAUCGUUGACACAUCCCCUGACCUGUGAUGCUGUGGUUUUACCUUCAGAGACAGGUCGAGCUCUCCGAGAAGCGAAGGUCCGCUGGUGUCACGUAAUCCCGCUCACAGAUGAGAGCGUCCGGCCUAUUUUCAGCCCGUUGCUCGCCGUGAUUGCCUCUGAAAGAUCAAUCAGCGCUCGCUGCACAGCUCUGCUUUCUCCUCGCCGACACGAAUCACAUAAAUAAACUCAAAUUACUGGAUCCACGGGCCGUAUUUUUUUUUUUCUUUCUUUUUUUCCUGGCAUGUCUUCGGCCCCAGCAGGAACACCAGAAAAAAAAAAAAGAUGGUCAGUUUUUCAUAAUCGCUCCAUUUGACUGAGCUCGCACCAUUUUCUACGAUACAAAAGGCUGCGAUUGGGCUCGGCCAAACACCGCCGUCCAUUUCCAAGACAAAUACUCCGGUUUUCUUCAUAUUUCUGGGGUAAUGGAGAGGCGACACAAAGCAUUAGCUGCAGCUCACGCUCCGUACACAAACAUAUUAAAGCUCCAGCCUUUUCUUUUUACCUCUUUCACAUAUCCACUUUAUCCCAAACCACACACACAUUACACAUAUCAGAAAGCCAUUUCAAACAUUUAGCUGCUGUAGACUGCUGUGCUUUGUGCCAUUAAGUUCAGUCAGCACUGAAAGUGGAAAAUAAAGCUUUCAAACCGAGGAAGUCAACACCUGUACACAUACGGUGCAAACACAGCGUCUGCUUGAUCCAAGACCGUCAUGGAAUACAGCUUUUAAACAACUGCACCGCAAGCUCCCUUUUCUGUUCGGAUAAAUAUAUUUGAGUCAUUUCUGUGCUUCAAAUACAGCGUCUUAAAUUCA